GGGCCCGGUUUCCGGGUAGUAACAGAGCAGCCAAUCCGCGGAGUUGCGAGAGCUGGAGGCCUUUUCCCUGCAAACACAGCUCCAAGGACACCGACUGCUCUAACCCUCACCCUUUGGAAAACAAGGAAAGCGGAGCCGACAACAAGGGUUUCUCCUUUGGAAAAACCGCCGGGGUUCCUUUUGUCAGGGGGGCAGAAAGAGCGGAGCAAAAACUCCCCAGCACCGAGAGGAAUCCCAGAUAUUUGGGGCUUUCUACCUACCCAGCUCCUAGAAACACACAGCAAAGCCACUUCGCAGGGAAAACCUGCUCUUUGUCCUCCAAAAUAUGCUGCGAUCGCUGGAGAAGCCGGCAAGGAACGGAACAAAAAGGGGGAGAAAAAAAAAAAAAAAAAAAAAAAAAAA